rnacentral:rRNA from 1 species
UGGGGAAUAUUGCACAAUGGGCGCAAGCCUGAUGCAGCCAUGCCGCGUGUAUGAAGAAGGCCUUCGGGUUGUAAAGUACUUUCAGCGAGGAGGAAGGCGGUAAGGUUAAUAACCUUAUCUAUUGACGUUACUCGCAGAAGAAGCACCGGCUAACUCCGUGCCAGCAGCCGCGGUAAUACGGAGGGUGCAAGCGUUAAUCGGAAUUACUGGGCGUAAAGCGCACGCAGGCGGUCUGUCAAGUCGGAUGUGAAAUCCCCGGGCUCAACCUGGGAACUGCAUUCGAAACUGGCAGGCUAGAGUCUUGUAGAGGGGGGUAGAAUUCCAGGUGUAGCGGUGAAAUGCGUAGAGAUCUGGAGGAAUACCGGUGGCGAAGGCGGCCCCCUGGACAAAGACUGACGCUCAGGUGCGAAAGCGUGGGGAGCAAACA